AGCCUUUAGCAAUAAUAGUAUUAAAGGUGACGCCUGCCCAGUGAUAUAUUAAACGGCCGCGGGAUCCUCCACCGUGCAAAGGUAGCAUAAUCACUUGUCCCCUAAAUAGCGACUAGUAUGAAUGGCCAAAUGAAGAUUUCCCUGUCUCUUGCAGCCGAUCUAUGAAACUGAUCUUUCAGUACAAAAGCUGAAAUAUAAACACAAGACGAAAAGACCCUGUGGAACUUUCAAGUAUUAGUUAUAACAUAAUAAACCACUUUUAGUUGGGGCAACUUUGGAAAUAAACAAAACUUCCAAUAUAUAACCAAGGUAAACAUACCUAAGUUUUCUACUUUACGACCCAGUACCACUGAUAAAAGAAACAAGCUACCCCAGGGAUAACAGCGCCAUCCCCUCUUAGAGUCCCCAUCGAUGAGCGGGGCUUACGACCUCGAUGUUGGAUCAGGGCCCCCAAACAGUGCAGCCGCUGUUAACGGUUUGUUUGUUCAACAAUUAAUGCCCU
rnacentral:rRNA from 1 species